ACUCCUACGGGAGGCAGCAGUAGGGAAUCUUCCGCAAUGGACGAAAGUCUGACGGAGCAACUGCCGCGUGAGUGAAGAAGGUUUUCGGAUCGUAAAACUCUGUUGUUAGAGAAGAACAAGGAUGAGAGUAACUGCUCGUCCCUUGACGGUAUCUAACCAGAAAGCCAUGGCUAACUAC
rnacentral:rRNA from 1 species